AUUCCGAGUAGCGGGAUCCCGCGCAGCCUCAGGGCUGCUGGCAGUGAAAGUGGGGGGAUGGAGGAGGUGUCCAGAGGAAAGACCUGGAGAUCUGGAGAUACAGGACGGUCAGGGUGGUCAGAGAAUUUGGAUCUUUUGCUUGUUGGAAAUCGGGACCGCUCCGAGAAACGUAAGCAGCUCGAUGUUGUUAGUGCCAGUGGAGACACUUGGCACUCACAAUUUGCAGACGUUUGGGAAAGCAUCGUUUCUCAAGAGGACCCCGUUCCCGUGUCUGUAAAUCAGAGAUGGUACCCACUUCGUAGUUCGCUGUGAAGCCUGUGAGCGAGGAGGGGCUUUAAAAUACAGAACUUUGCACUGGAGCGCUCCCCGUCCUCGCAGCCUGCUUGGUGUGCAGGUGGUUCCCAGGCGGCUUCUGCUUCCGAAAAGCAGAUCGUCCCUUUAUCUCGAGUCUUCUCCCCGCCUCUCCCUCUUCUCCCUACCCUAUUUGUCUUCUUGGGAACAAAUGGCACAUUCAUCAGAGUGGAGAUCCAUAAACGGGACUGGCGAGCCGAAGAUUUAAUUCUGAAGAAUAGGAUCUGCUCUGUGCUUUCAGGUUAAAAAGCUGUAAAUAUCUUUGUAAUUCUAGCAGUACUUUGCCCUCUUCUGCCAUCUGAACGCGUGCUCCCUGCUGACCUCAUCGGCUCCCAUAAAGAUACGCCGGGCGUGAUAGUGCACGCCUACAAAUCCCAGCUACUCGGGAGGCUGCGGCAGAAGAAUCUCUGGAACCUGGGAAGCAGAGGUUGCAGUGAACUGAGAUCACACCACUGCACUCCAGCCUGGACCACAGAGCAAAACUCUGUCUUAAAAAUUAUAUUUUUAAUAAAAAUAAAUAAUAAAUGC
rnacentral:lncRNA from 1 species